rnacentral:lncRNA from 1 species
AUAAGUUAAGGCUUUAUGACAAACUUACAAUCGCACUUUCAGACAUGCUUCUCAUGUAAACACUCUACCAAAAAACAAUGUACUGUAAUUUGUGGUUCUAAUGAACUCCAACUAUUUGUCAAUAGUAGAUUUAACUCAAAAACUUGCUUGUCAAUAAUCGAUGAUUCGCCAGUCGCUCUCAUUCAGAAGAUAUCCAAUAAAGUCCUGCUCCUAUGCUCUGCGAUUGAAGAGAGAUGUCAAAUAGAGGAAAUAGAGUUAAUACGAAUUUAUUCAAAUGCAAGCAAAGAAUAUUAACAAUGAAGAGAGAUGGAUAGCAGUAACAAAUGCUGAAACAGACGAGGAACAAGGUAACCAUUCACUCACCUGCUCAUGUAAGAGUUGUCGGUGGUGUUAACGAUAAUCUUGUCCCCUUCUAAGAUAUGUUUUGGUACCUAGAAAAGAGAUAACAUGUAAAGAAGGAAGUCAAGAACAUGCACAGCUACUUCAACUCCAUGAGAUACAUAUUGCUAGAUAUACAUAAUUCACAUUUCCCCGAAUGAAGUAUGUUAGAUAGUUAUGUGUAAAUAAUCAUAGUCCCAUUUAAUAGGAAUAGAAUAUGUCUUAAUCAUAUAUGUAGUAGCAGUAGAAUAUAUCCUAAUUCCAUAUGUAGUAGGAGUAACAACAACAACAACUCACUAUAAUCCCACUUGGUAGGGUCUGGGGAGGGUAGUAUGUACACAGAUCUUAACCCUACCCUUGGGUAGAGAGCCUGCUUCCAAAUAGACCCCCGGCAUCCUUCCCUCCAAGAACCUCCCACCUUGCUCUUAGGGAGACUCGAAC